CCGCCGCAGCGGUGGGUGAGCUCGUCGACGAAGUCGUCGAAGCUCCUCUGCGACGACCCGCCGGGCGCCGCGGCGGCCUUGAGCUUGGCCGUCACCUUCCUGAGCGCCUGGCGGAGCUGCUGGCCCUCUUGACCGGAUAUGACGCCCUGGAUCCUGGCGCUCACCUCGUCGGGGAACACCUUGCCGCGGUCGCCGAUGGGCACGCCGACGCGCCACUCGCGCACGACGAGCCGGCGGUUGGUGAACUGGUCGGUGAGCAGCGGGAAGCAGAGCAUGGGCACGCCGGCCCACACGCUCUCGAGGACGGAGUUCCAGCCGCAGUGCGUGAGGAAGCCGGCGAGCGCGGCGUGGGCGAGCACCUCCACCUGGCAGCACCAGGGCACGACGAGGCCGCGGCCGGCGGAGGCGGCCGCGAAGCCCCCGGGCAGCGGGUCCGGGUCGUCGGAGCUGACGAUGUCCGGCCGCAUCGCCCAGAGGAACCUGGCGCCGCUGGCGAGCACCCCGGCCGCGAUGUCGUGCAGCUCCUGCCGGGUGACGUGCGCGUAG
rnacentral:rRNA from 1 species